GGGCUGGGGCCUAGUGGUAGAGUGCUCACCUAGCAUGUGUGAGGCACUGGGUUCAAACCUCAGCACCACA
rnacentral:tRNA from 1 species